AUAUGUCGACUAAGAAACACGUAAUGUCAACAAGAUUGUCUGAUUGACAAGAGAAAAGGUCAAACAGGAACUUCAAUUGUGAACAUUGCUGAGAACACACUCAUCAGAAGAUGACCCUCAGAAAUAGGAUAAUUAGGUUCCUUUUGCCGGAAAACGAAUCUGACAUGCCACCUCGAGAUUUUAACCAAGGAAAGACAAGUUGAUGUGCUUUGAUUUGAGGGGUCACUCACUUCUGAACGAAAAUUAGGGACAUCACUAUGAGAAGAAACGUUAACAUUGUCGCCUAUGGGAAAACAAUUAGUGGACUGUACCCAUAUUAGGAAGCCUAUAU